GAUGAACUCUGGCGGCGUGCCUAAUACAUGCAAGUCGAACGCACCGCUUCGGUGGUGAGUGGCGAACGGGUGAGUAAUACAUAAGUAACCUGGCCUUUCGAGGGGGAUAACUAUUGGAAACGAUAGCUAAGACCGCAUAGGCAUAAUUCUCGGAUGAGAGUUAUGUUAAAUAUCCCAAGGGAUAGCGAGAGGAUGGACUUAUGGCGCAUUAUCUAGUUGGUGAGGGUAACGGCCCACCAAGGCGACGAUGCGUAGCCGACCUGAGAGGGUGGACGGCCACACUGGGACUGAGACACGGCCCAGACUCCUACGGGAGGCAGCAGUAGGGAAUUUUCGGCAAUGGGCGAAAGCCUGACCGAGCAACGCCGCGUGAGGGAGGAAGUAUUUCGGUAUGUAAACCUCUGUUAUAAAGGAAGAACGGCGCAUGUAGGGAAUGACAUGCGAGUGACGGUACUUUAUGAGAAAGCCACGGCUAACUACGUGCCAGCAGCCGCGGUAAUACGUAGGUGGCGAGCGUUAUCCGGAAUCAUUGGGCGUAAAGAGGGAGCAGGCGGCAACUAGGGUCUGCGGUAAAAGACCGAAGCUAAACUUCGGUAAGCCGUGGAAACCGAGGAGCUAGAGUGCAGUAGAGGAUCGUGGAAUUCCAUGUGUAGCGGUGAAAUGCGUAGAUAUAUGGAGGAACACCAGUGGCGAAGGCGACGAUCUGGGCUGCAACUGACGCUCAGUCCCGAAAGCGUGGGGAGCAAAUAGGAUUAGAUACCCUAGUAGUCCACACCGUAAACGAUGAGAACUAAGUGUUGGAGAGAUUCAGUGCUGCAGUUAACGCAAUAAGUUCUCCGCCUGGGGAGUAUGCACGCAAGUGUGAAACUCAAAGGAAUUGACGGGGGCCCGCACAAGCGGUGGAGUAUGUGGUUUAAUUCGAAGCAACGCGAAGAACCUUACCAGGCCUUGACAUGGAUAUAAAUGUUCUAGAGAUAGAAAGAUAGCUAUAUAUCACACAGGUGGUGCAUGGUUGUCGUCAGCUCGUGUCGUGAGAUGUUGGGUUAAGUCCCGCAACGAGCGCAACCCUUGUCUUCUGUUACCAGCAUUAAGUUGGGGACUCAGGAGAGACUGCCGGUGACAAACCGGAGGAAGGUGGGGAUGACGUCAAAUCAUCAUGCCCCUUAUGGCCUGGGCUACACACGUACUACAAUGGCGCCUACAAAGAGCAGCGACACCGCGAGGUGGAGCGAAUCUCAUAAAGGGCGUCUCAGUUCGGAUUGAAGUCUGCAACUCGACUUCAUGAAGUCGGAAUCGCUAGUAAUCGCAGAUCAGCAUGCUGCGGUGAAUACGUUCUCGGGCCUUGCACA
rnacentral:rRNA from 1 species